GAUUCACGGUCCGCGAUCAUCCAAGAACACAUGCGAAUAUGCGAAAGGCACACGGUCAUAAAAUAUAAUUUAUACACGCGAAGUUACAUACACGUUAACAUACGCGACAUAGAAACUCACACGCGAACGAAAACGUUAAUGUACAAACGCCUAAACCCUUCACAAUGAUACACGCAAUCGCGAAGUCCCUACGCCCGCACAUAUCUGAACCGUAAAAUGAAUAUCACAUUCAGAAUCACGGCCCACUGCAAUUGGCCUUAAGCAGUUUAGUGGGUAACAUUUCCCGUCUGGUUUUCAAUUGUAUUGUUGAGAGUCCUGUCGAGACCCUAGCUCUACUGCUCCAGUAGGACAACUCUCGAGAAAAAUGUACUCUGGGUUUUAACUGGAGUGUGCGGCGAAGGGUUACUCCCCCACAUAUCGCACCGCCAUGUCCUAACCCCAACUCGUUAAACCCCCUUAGAUCCCUCUCCACCAGUCCCAUCAGACUACCACCCCAUCAGACCCCGAUAAUCUAGGUCAAUCUGAUCCCUUAGAUAAACAGCCAAAACAGUGCACCGUAUUAUUCGUAUAAUCUAUUCAAAUUUAUUCACAGAUUCAUUUUUUUUCAGGUGUUGAACGUGAUCAUGGAAUUCGGUAAUUUAUUCGUUUUCGUGACACUUAUUCAGGACUUUUUUUGGUAGAAUUGUUUACACCUGAUCUCCAUGAUAGUCCGCCCUGGACACUAAUCCAGACUCAUUAACCUGCCCAGAAACCAGUGUCAUGCAAACUCGUUCGAGUCCAAAUGCUUUCCGAGUUUCAAAGUUUUGCGAUCGUCUAAAUAUUUCAAAUUAAUGCACAAACCGUCGUGUUUUUAUAUCCUUGCAUUAUGGAAAUUGUACAAAACUCGGAAGGAUACGACCAGCACCGAGCUAUAGGACAAUUAGUAGUGGUCGAAAAAUGCAAGUGUUACUCCGGAGCUCCUAUUGAACCACUAAUAAUCUAAUCGUUGCACAAUUAUUUCGUGGUUAAUUUGUGUGGAAAUGAACCACAACGGCAGCCGAUACACGUCGUUCGCCUUUGCUAGUGGAGGGAUCACUGGCAGCGGCGGUGUCCGAGGGGAACUGAGCAGUGGAAAUUUGAGCAGAAAGCUGAGUAGUCCGAUGGCAGAGUCGACACAGCUGGACAGCAGCGGUAUCCGGGGGAAUCUGUACGACAGGUUGGAGUUGGGAAAAGAAGCCUACCUCUCCGUUGCAAAAUAGCAGGACAAAUUUUAGAAGCAGCUGAACGGCGUCCGGGUCCAGUAUGGAUCGAUUGAUUGAUCCUAAGAUUUACACGGAUGUUCAGAGCCGAGGAUUGGUUAACCGGUUAGUAACGUACCACGAUAAAACGCAAUCGCCGUUAAAUAGGAGUCAAUCGAUGACUAGCCUGUACUCGAAGCCGGGUCGAUUUCCUGUGUGGUGGAGGAGAAACCAUUCUUCGAUAGCUACCAUUGGUUCGGAUUUCCACGUCAGAGAAGUCCGUGUUUCAGGCUGACACAAGGUGGAACAUUUUACGGGAGGGAUCGUUGCUCAUUCCGGCGGAACCUCAUCUGAAGAUGGUCCGAACACAUAGACACGAGGAUGAGAUUGAUGCGGAAAAUAGUGUGAUUGCGCC